rnacentral:rRNA from 1 species
CCUACGGGAGGCAGCAGUGGGGAAUAUUGGACAAUGGGCGCAAGCCUGAUCCAGCAAUGCCGCGUGUGUGAAGAAGGCCUGCGGGUUGUAAAGCACUUUGAGUGGGGAAGAAGGCCUGGGGGUUAAUAGCUUCUGGGAUUGACGUUACCCACAGAACAAGCACCGGCUAACUCCGUGCCAGCAGCCGCGGUAAUACGGAGGGUGCGAGCGUUAAUCGGAAUUACUGGGCGGAAAGCGCGAGUCUGCGGUGAAAGCCCUGGGCUUAACCUGGGAGCUGCAUUGGUUACUGUUUGACUGGAGUGUGGUAGAGGGGUGUGGAAUUUCCGGUGUAGCAGUGAAAUGCGUAGAGAUCGGAAGGAACACCAGUGGCGAAGGCGGCCCCCUGGACCGACACUGACGCUGAGGUGCGAAAGCGUGGGGAGCAAACAGGAUUAGAUACCCUUGUAGUC